CAGUCGAGCGGUAGAGAGAAGCUUGCUUCUCUUGAGAGCGGCGGACGGGUGAGUAAUGCCUAGGAAUCUGCCUGGUAGUGGGGGAUAACGUUCGGAAACGGACGCUAAUACCGCAUACGUCCUACGGGAGAAAGCAGGGGACCUUCGGGCCUUGCGCUAUCAGAUGAGCCUAGGUCGGAUUAGCUAGUUGGUGGGGUAAUGGCUCACCAAGGCGACGAUCCGUAACUGGUCUGAGAGGAUGAUCAGUCACACUGGAACUGAGACACGGUCCAGACUCCUACGGGAGGCAGCAGUGGGGAAUAUUGGACAAUGGGCGAAAGCCUGAUCCAGCCAUGCCGCGUGUGUGAAGAAGGUCUUCGGAUUGUAAAGCACUUUAAGUUGGGAGGAAGGGUUGUAGAUUAAUACUCUGCAAUUUUGACGUUACCGACAGAAUAAGCACCGGCUAACUCUGUGCCAGCAGCCGCGGUAAUACAGAGGGUGCAAGCGUUAAUCGGAAUUACUGGGCGUAAAGCGCGCGUAGGUGGUUUGUUAAGUUGGAUGUGAAAUCCCCGGGCUCAACCUGGGAACUGCAUUCAAAACUGACUGACUAGAGUAUGGUAGAGGGUGGUGGAAUUUCCUGUGUAGCGGUGAAAUGCGUAGAUAUAGGAAGGAACACCAGUGGCGAAGCGACCACCUGGACUAAUACUGACACUGAGGUGCGAAAGCGUGGGGAGCAAACAGGAUUAGAU
rnacentral:rRNA from 1 species